rnacentral:lncRNA from 10 species
AAAUGGGCCAAGGUACAGCUCAGGCCAUUGCCUCAGAGGGUGCAAGCCCCAAGCCUUGGCAUCUUCCAUGUGGUGUUAGGCCUGUUGGUACACAGAAGACAAGAAUUGAGGUUAGGGAACCUCCACCUAGAUUUCAGAGGAUGUAUGGGAAUGCCUGAAUGUCCAGGCAAAAGUCUGUUGCAGGGGCAGAGCCCUCAGGGUAAACCUCUGCUAGGGCAGUGUGGAAGGGAAAUGUGGGGUUGGAGCCCUCAGAGUCCCCACUGGGGCACUGCUUACUGGAGUUGUGAGAAAGGGCCACCAUUCUCCAGACCCCAGAAUUAUAGACCGACUGACAGCUUGCACUGUGAGUUUGGAAAAGCCAUGGACACUCAACACCAAACAUAAAAGCAGCCAGGAUGGGGACUGCACCUUGCAAAGCCACAGGUGUGGAGCUUCCCAAGGCUGUGGGAGCCCACUACUUGCAUCAGUGUGACCUGGAUGCGAGACAUGGAGACAAAGGAGAUUUUGGAACCAUAUGUCCUGAGAGUUUCUGAAGUUAUUUAACUGGUUCAAUGAGAAUUUAAUCAAGGUCUGCUUUAUAUCAAAAUUUAUGAUUUUUAUUCAAUGCCAUACAUAGAAUUUGUUCACAGUUAUCAUCAAACACACUCAUGACCCCAGUUAUUCCAGCUGUUAAAUGGAGUGGAUCAAAAGGCUGAUUAAAUGUAACGGAUUCCAAAGAAUGGCUGGCACAUAGAUGGAUACCAUUCAAGCCCAAGGAAAACCAAUGCUUCUUUUCAUCUAUGGACUCAAGUCUCAGAAAGCAGAGAAGUGAGUGUACCAAGUGCAACAAACGUUUGAGCAUUGUUCUGCUGCCAAUAUUGAAGACAGCCACUGCUUUGAAGUGUGGGGAGGAGAGCUAGAGCAUAUUUGCCUGCCACAGUUAGUUUUGUGUUUCCAUGGAAUUUGAGCAAAACUGAUGCACUUGUCUCCCAGGAUUAAUCCAUACAAGUCACCUCUAAAAUUAUCUUUUCCCAUUCGUUGACUGAGCAAAAUGGACUUCAAGGACCUAAAGGAGGUUAAAUACCACAAGAUGGAGGAGCUUGAGUCUCUGAAUCAUUGUGUGUGAAGUCAUCUGCCAAUUACAUAAAUUGAAUUCUUGGGAAUUCUUGGUAUGAUAGGACAUGAAAGCUGAGAGAAAACCCUUCUACCUAGGAACUCCGGAGUUUCAACUACCAGAGACUGAAGGCAGGAGAGAAAAACUAAGACAAAUGACUUCAAAGCCUUUCUGAAAUGCCACAGAGGGUCAGGAUUACAAUCUGCCUAUUCUGAUUCUUCUACUAUGGGAAAAAAUCUUUUUCAGAAUUGAUGUAAAGCCUCUGUUAAUACUUUUCCUGUUAACAACCUAACUAUUCAACUGCUGAAUAAAAACCAUUAGGACAACUAAAGAAACUGAGAGAUUUUGGCAAGAAAUAGUCAUUCCAAUAUCAAUGACUACGGAGGAAAUGCAAUUACUUUUCUUUGCUUAAGUUUUCCAGGGCCUUUCUCUGUUGCCCAGGCUGGAGUGCAGUGAGGCAAUCUUGGCUCACCACAAUCUCUCCCUCCUGGAUUCAAGCAAUUCUCCUGCCUCAGCCUCCCGAGUAGCUGGGAUUACAGGCAUGCACCACUACACCCGGAUAAUUUUUGUAUUUUUAGUAGAGAUGGGGUUUUACCAUGUUGGCCAGGCUGGUCUUGAACUCCUGACCUCGUGAUCAGCCUGCCUCGGCCUCCUAAAGUGCUGGGAUUACAUGCAUGAGCCACUGUGCCCUGCCAACUUGUUAAAUUUUUAAUCAUUCUGCUCACCUUUUGCAACCUUACUGACUUUUGUGUCUACCUUAUCUAGCAGUGGCUGAAAUUUCCUUCUAUGAUUAUAGAUUUGUCUGUUAUUUCUUAUAGAUUUCUCAAUAUUGCUUGUAUUAUUAUUUUAAGUUAAUACCAUUAGGCAUAAAAAUUCAAAAUUGUUAUCGCU